rnacentral:lncRNA from 10 species
CACACAUGCAUGUACAGGUAAGCACACAUGUACAAGCUCCUACAGGCUUGCUCUCACACACGUGUAUGCACAGCAGAGAGACGUAUGAGCUUCUACUGCACACAUGCACACACACACGCACACGUACAUUCACUACAAACGUGCAGCCUCCUGCACACGUGCACAUUCAUGUGUACACCACAAAUGAGUUCCCAGACGUGUAAACACACGUGCACACAUCGUACACAUGUGAGCUCCCACACGUACACACAGAUGCACAUGGACACACCCCAAACACGCACAGGCUCCUACACACAUGCACACACGUGUACACCACAAACGAGCUCCCAGACAUGUAAACACACGUCUCCCACACGUGAGCUCCCACACGUACACAUGCACAUGUACGCACCACAAACACAUGCGCAGGCUCCUGCAGGCGUGAAUACACACAUGCACACACAU